CAGCCAUGCAUAUCACUGCUGGUUCCGAGAGGGGUUUUUUAGAUUUCACAGUGAAGAUGGCUUGAUAAAAUAAAGCCACCUGGAGUCACGGACGAGCAGCCACUGUUUCUCUCACUUCGUGCGCGGAGAUACUGGUGCGUUUUUGUGCGCAAAGACUUUCUGUGGGUGAGGAAGUUUCCGGGCAGAGAGCUCCAAAACCAGGGCGGAUAUUUCACUGGAGUGAAGUUUCAGAGCCUCCGCCCAGAUUAAAGCCCCGCUGAUGUCCUCUGUGUCCUGCUAUUCUGCUCACUCUGUCCCAGCUGUUUAAGGGGAAAAAAGUUAUAAAAUACGACUUCAAAAAAAGAAUGGCUUUCGAUCAUCACAGAGAAAACGGAACAAGAGGUGAACGUGGCCGGAUGUAGCUGUGUGUCAGGCAUGAUGAGCGAGAGACAAACGGCACAGCAGCCAGAGAAGAACUGCAGCAAUGCAGCUGCACAUUAAAGUGGAUUUACUGCAGUGUUUAGUGGAAGAUUUGUUGAUACUGUGUAAAGAUACAGCAGGCUCCUUCAAGUUUAUAUUGUGGGUUUCCAUUGUGAUCGUCAAACUUUUUAACAAACUGGAUACUGAAGCACUUUUUAAAACAGCAUCAUCACAAAAAAAUGUUGAACUAUCAAAGGAAAAAUAAUUUAAUGUACUGUGUAGAUCCUGUUGUCAUUUUUGUGUAUAAUUUACUCCUUCUUCAAGUUAGCACAAUAAUAUAUGCACAACUUUUAUCAAAAAACUGUCUUCAUGUCUCAUUUUGUCUUCAUCCUGAGCUGCUUUGCAGCAGGACUGAACACAGGACCUCACUGAUAAAGGAAAUAAAGA